rnacentral:rRNA from 1 species
GGACUACCAGGGUAUCUAAUCCUGUUUGCUACCCACGCUUUCGCUCCUCAGUGUCAGUACCGGCCCAGAGCGCCGCCUUCGCCGCUGGUGUUCCUCCUGAUAUCUGCGCAUUUCACCGCUACACCAGGAAUUCCACGCUCCCCUACCGGACUCCAGUCACAGCAGUAUCGGGUGGCGUCUCCAGGUUGAGCCUGGAGGUUUCACACCCGACUUACCGAACCACCUACGAGCUCUUUACGCCCAAUAAAUCCGGACAACGCUUGCCCCCUACGUGUUACCGCGGCUGCUGGCAC